CUACGGAUGCAGCAGUGGGGAAUAUUGCACAAUGGAGGAAACUCUGAUGCAGCAACGCCGCGUGGAGGAUGACACUUUUCGGAGCGUAAACUCCUUUUAUAUAGGAAGAAGAUGACGGUACUAUAUGAAUAAGCGCCGGCUAACUCCGUGCCAGCAGCCGCGGUAAUACGGAGGGCGCAAGCGUUACUCGGAAUCACUGGGCGUUAAGAGCGUGUAGGCGGAUUAAAAAGUCAGAAGUGAAAUCCUAUAGCUUAACUAUAGAACUGCUUCUGAAACUCUUAAUCUAGAAUAUGGGAGAGGUAGAUGGAAUUUCUGGUGUAGGGGUAAAAUCCGUAGAGAUCAGAAGGAAUACCGAUUGCGAAGGCGAUCUACUAGAACAUUAUUGACGCUGAGACGCGAAAGCGUGGGGAGCAAACAGGAUUAGAUACCCUGGUAGUC
rnacentral:rRNA from 1 species